CAACUUUUAUCGGCUGGAUUCUAGCAUCUAACGUUACGAUUGCCUCUGUUGGGUUUGUUUGAUCAACUCCACCAUCUCAAUGAGUGCCAGGCAGCCGAGUCACUACCCCUCAACCUGGAGAAAACUGUUAAGCACCUCACCAUGGGGCAGGACUGCAACACUCUUCACCACCUCAACUCCCUGCACCUGCAUUUAACA